rnacentral:rRNA from 1 species
GACAGGCUGUUGCUGUCCCUUCCUUUGGUUUGGGUACGUGCACGCUUGUCAUCUUUAUUUCUACCCCACUGUGCACAUAUUGUAGACCUGAGAGCUUUUGAUUCAUUUUCGAGUUGGGACUGCUGCACGAAACGUUCAGCUUUGCCUUGCAUUUUCGGGUCUAUGUCAUCUUCACAAACCUCUAGAAUUGUUUGGAAUGUUGAAUGCAAAGGUCAUUUUGUACCUAUAAAGUUUAUAUACAACUUUCAGCAACGGAUCUCUUGGCUCUCGCAUCGAUGAAGAACGCAGCGAAAUGCGAUAAGUAAUGUGAAUUGCAGAAUUCAGUGAAUCAUCGAAUCUUUGAACGCAUCUUGCGCUCCCUGGUAUUCCGAGGAGCAUGCCUGUUUGAGUGUCAUUUAAAUUCUCAACCAUGAACAACUUUGUUGUAUUGUGGCUUGGAUGUGGGGGGAAUGUUUUGCAGGCUUUUUCGAGUCUGCUCCCCUGAAAUGCAUUAGUAGUAUCUGAGCAGAAACUACAAGGUGUGAUAAUUUAUCUAUGCCCUUUAGUAUGCUGCAGGAAAAACCAGAUUACGCUGCUUCCAACAUGUUUUACUUUUGACAAAUUUGACCUCAAAUCAGGUAGGACUACCCGCUGAACUUAAGCAUAUCAAUA